AGAGAGAGAGAGAGAGAGAGAAGUAUGGCUUUCCCUUCAUUACAAGUAAGCAGUUGCAUCUGGACAUACGAGUUUCAGUUUAAAAAUUUGGUUGCAGUCAUCAAUCGACACAUUAACUACCAAAUAUUAAGUUAAAAAAGUGUAUGGGUUAGCCUUAACUACCAAAUGUAUUAAGUUAAAAAAGUGCAAGGGGUUGCCCUUAAUCCCAAACACAACCCAUCUAUUUGAAGUUCUCAGUUUCUUGAUUUUACUCACAAGUGAUAAGGAAAGCUGAUAAAAAUGUUUUCCCUAAGUUCGGAGGGAAUAUCACAUUGCUUUUAGACUCCAGUGCACAAAAUCCAGAAGGUUAAAGCAUUAACUUUGGCAAAAAGCUAAAGAAAAGCUUUUGCAAUAUGCAUUUUAUAGUUUGGGAGUUUGUGCACUGAAGUUUAAAAGUAAUGCCAUUAAACAUACAAGAAGAAAAAGAUGUAUUGCGCCUUGAAAAACGCUCUACAGAUAUUAAUCACACAAGAAGUAAAUGAUAACAUGUAAACCAGUUUUUCAUCAUUUUCACAGCUACAAAGAAAUCACAACUCAGUGAUCCGAAUCAAAAUUAUGGAGGAAAAACAGCAAGACUCAGAGGGUUUCAGGAAACUUGAGUGCCUGCAAGUAUGCCAUCCAGGAAUAAAGUCAAAUACAUCAACAAAAUAUCAAAAGAUAGCAGGAAAGAAUGCAUAUGGCAUUUCCAUUUUGCUUCAUGUGCAUGAAUUAAAAUCAGAACACGUUAAUGGACCAAUAAUAACAGGUAUAUGCAUUCUCACAAACACAAUAUUAUGAGGUGAUGAGAAGUUGAAAAAGAAAAACCUCUAAGCGCUGGAGAUCAACUACUGCAGGUGCUUCUUUCACACUGGUCAAGUUAUAGAUGCUCAACACGUUGUCCCACCUUGGAACAGUCAUGUUCCUGACAAGACCAUUGACAAUAGCUCCAGGGUAGAGAAGAGCUUUCACUACAGGAACAGGAAAGAUCUCACUUGCAACCAACUGGGAAGAUGUGACAUGAAUUGGUGUAGAACACAUGCCAGAUCUGCAUGGGACCCUGAAAAGAGGGACCUGAAGAAUGAUUAGAAAGAAAUAGAUUCGAGAUGCUAUCGAAGGCAGAUUGCUCACCCAUCCCUUCGACGUUGCUGUUCUUGUUGGUGGUGGAGCUGUUGUAUUUGAUAUUGCCAUUAUUGAGAAAUGAGGAGAGAGAGAGAGAGAGAGUGCAGAGCGAGCAACGCAAAGACCGAGGACAGAGAGGGAGUUCGGAUCUGGUGCUUAAGUACCCACUGGAACUUAAUUGUUAAGCAUUGACGCUUGUCAAGAACUAUGAUGAAACGGUUCGUUUAUAGCAUACCCAGGCCAGAACCGGGUGGACUGCCA
rnacentral:misc_RNA from 1 species